AAAUAUUUUACAUAUUUUGGGAUGAUUUACAAGUUUUCGGUACUCACGUCGUUUCUCUCUCCUAAUAAAGUGAUAAAAUAAAAUAGCUACAACGUUAAGCCGGAAUACCGAAUAAAGCGAUUGAUGAUUUAUAUUCAAAGUAUGCUAAUUAAGUUUUAGCAGCAAGUAAAAGUUUUUGAGUAAUAUGUCAAACCAAUACCCACAAAGACCAAAAAACAAUUAUCAAAAAUACACAGACAAAAAAUUAUUGAAAGACCAGCCAUUUUAUAGAAGAAAUCCUAGAGCAUUUGUUAUUAUCGGAAGUUCACUAGGCCUCUUGAUUUUGUUUAGCAGGGGAUUGUAUGAUUUUUUCAGACCUACCACUUUUCAAGAUUUUCAGCGGCAAUUAGUCAAGGAAAAACAAUAUCAGUUACAUUUACAAGAAACCUUAAAGAAAGAAAAGCAAAAGGAUAAGGAAGAAUAAAAUUAUGGAUUCUGUGAACAAAGCAAAAUUGCGCUUCAAGAAAUAUCCUGAUCUACUAUUAGCGUGCCGUGUUGAAGGGAUCAAGUAUGCUACAUGCAUCAUCCAAAAUGAAAAAGAUCUUAAAUUAGACUCUUGUAAAGAUCAGUUUAUGUUGUUUCGUCAGUGUUUAAUAGCCAAUUCAUUAAAGCAUCGCAUCAAAAUAUAGUCUUGAUGUAAACAGAAAAAAAAAAAGAAAAAUACCAAUAGCUUAGUAUAAAAGUAAUAUAAAUUUUAUGUGGUAAAAUAUAGUGUUUGAUUUUUUGUAAUAAGAA